rnacentral:rRNA from 1 species
UACGGAGGAUCCGAGCGUUAUCCGGAUUUAUUGGGUUUAAAGGGUGCGUAGGUGGUUUGAUAAGUCAGCGGUGAAAGUUUGCAGCUUAACUGUAAAAAUGCCGUUGAAACUGUCGGACUUGAGUGUAAAUGAGGUAGGCGGAAUGCGUGGUGUAGCGGUGAAAUGCAUAGAUAUCACGCAGAACUCCGAUUGCGAAGGCAGCUUACUAAGCUACAACUGACACUGAAGCACGAAAGCGUGGGGAUCAAACAGGAUUAGAAACCCUUGUAGUCC